AGUCGUGCGCGACGGGACUUCGGUCCCUAGUAGAGCGGCGAACGGGUGAGUAACACGUGGGUAACCUGCCUGGGAGUGGGGGAUAACCUGGGGAAACUCGGGCUAAUACCGCAUACGUUCCCGGAGCUACGGCUUCGGGAGGAAAGAUGGCCUCUGCUUGCAAGCUAUCUCUCCCAGAGGGGCCCGCGGCUGAUUAGCUAGUUGGUGGGGUAACGGCCCACCAAGGCGACGAUCAGUAGCCGGCCUGAGAGGGUGAUCGGCCACACUGGAACUGAGACACGGUCCAGACUCCUACGGGAGGCAGCAGUGGGGAAUAUUGGACAAUGGGGGAAACCCUGAUCCAGCAACGCCGCGUGGGGGAUGAAGGUCUUCGGAUUGUAAACCCCUGUUGAGAGGGACGAAGGUUUGCGGGCAAACAGUCCGUAAACUUGACGGUACCUCGAGAGGAAGCCCCGGCUAACUCUGUGCCAGCAGCCGCGGUAAUACAGAGGGGGCGAGCGUUAUUCGGAAUUAUUGGGCGUAAAGGGCGCGUAGGCGGCCGCGUAAGUCUCGGGUGAAAUCCCUCGGCUCAACCGAGGAACUGCCCUGGAAACUGCGUGGCUCGAGGCCGGGAGAGGAUGGUGGAAUUCCCAGUGUAGCGGUGAAAUGCGUAGAUAUUGGGAGGACACCGGUGGCGAAGGCGGCCUCUGGACCGGUCUGACGCUGAGCGCGAAGCGUGGGAGCAA
rnacentral:rRNA from 1 species